GUAGUGCCCCGGCUCUGCCGCUGGCAUCCUUGGAUAAGAGGGGUGCGAGAGGAAAGUCCGGGCAGCACAGGACGCUCCACUUCCGAAAAUAGAAGCUAUUGGUGACAGUAGGCGAGGGCAGAAGAGAAUGACCGCCGUUAUAGUUCUGAUUAUAACGGUAAGGGUGAGAAGGUGGUGUAAGAGACCACCAGUCUGCGGGUGAUCGCAGGGCUGUGUCCGCUGGAGGCUGCAAGUUCAUGUAUACCAUCGUCAUGGGAGGGCUGUCCGCCCGAUGCAUGGUCUUUAUGAUAAUGCUGCGAUGGAGGGUAGAACGCUAGAGCGGCGGGGUGACUCGUCGAGUAGAUAAAUGACAGAGCACUUGGGACGGCUUGGCCGUUUCAGGUUACAGAACCCGGCUUAUCAGGGCACUGCCUUA
rnacentral:RNase_P_RNA from 2 species